GGGGCUGUCCGGGCCCCCAGAGGGGCUGUCCGGGCACCGUGAGGGGCUGUCCAGGCACCGUGAGGGGCUGUCCGGGCCCCCAGAGGGGCUGUCCGGACCCCGUGAGGGGCUGUCCGGAUCCCUAGAAGAGCUGUCCGGACCCCCAGAAGGGCUGUCCGAAGCCCCAGAAGGGCUGUCCGGGCCCCGUGAGGGGCUGUCCGGACCCCUAGAAGAGCUGUCCGGACCCCCAGAAGGGCUGUCCGAAGCCCCAGAAGGGCUGUCCGGGCCCCGUGAGGGGCUGUCCGGACCCCGGAGCGACCGCCCGGACCCCGCAGGAACCCCCGGCCGGCCCCGGCGGGGAGAGCGGCAAAGCCCGGCCUGGAUCGCAGCGCGGGCGGAUCGGGCGGCGGCCGCGGGUGUCGGUGCGGUGCCGGGGGGCUCCUCACACGCUGUAAAAUCACCACAAAUGGAGUCUUUCCGUGCGGUGAGACCACCACGGAUGGACCAGGAGCUGCAAAAGAGCCCAGCGUUCUGCUCUGCCCUGUCCAAGAUUUUCAAGUGUGUUUAGAAAGACACCCGACUGCUGCGUUUGAGGAGUGUCUGUGCCACUUCUGUGUCCUGUGUGUUGUAAACUGUGAGUAUUUGUUACGCCUGCACGUAGCUACACUAGAGCUGGACUUCUCCUGGAGAACCUGGAGUUUACUUUUACCUCAGACCUCCAGGGUGCAAAGAUCUUGCUUUGAAGUCAAGUUUCCAAGAAGAAGAAUUCUGUGUUCAAUAUAAUAACGAGGAGCCAGGAUCCUCAUGGAUCCCUACAGACCAUCUGGAACUGGGGAGGAGGCACUGCUGGGACAUCAGAUUUCCAGGAUUUCCACCUCCAGCAGCACCAGGCAAGGAAGCUCAGCCUGCCAGAGCACACUGGGACAGGAGAACAGCCAAGAACUUCUGUGUUUAUCCAGCUCAGUUGUUCGCACUGAGCUCCUGCAGCCCAUUCCCAUCUCCUGCACACCUGGAAAAAUAAGUGAGAAAGGUGAACCUGGUCAAUGAAGAAAACUCUUCAAAUUACAAAGAAUCUGUGGAAAAUGCUGCACCCUUGGCAUUGCUGAAAUCCAAUACCUGUGACAGUGCUGGGAGAAGAAAAGUGAAUUCUUCAGCUCUUAAGAAUGACCAGGAAAAUGCUCAAAUGAAAUAAAUCUACAUUACUAACAGCAAGUGAC